rnacentral:rRNA from 1 species
AGUGAACGCUGGCGGUAGGCCUAACACAUGCAAGUCGAACGGCAGCACAGUAAGAGCUUGCUCUUACGGGUGGCGAGUGGCGGACGGGUGAGGAAUACAUCGGAAUCUACUUUUUCGUGGGGGAUAACGUAGGGAAACUUACGCUAAUACCGCAUACGACCUACGGGUGAAAGCAGGGGAUCUUCGGACCUUGCGCGAUUGAAUGAGCCGAUGUCGGAUUAGCUAGUUGGCGGGGUAAAGGCCCACCAAGGCGACGAUCCGUAGCUGGUCUGAGAGGAUGGUCAGCCACACUAGAACUGAGACACGGUCCAGACUCCUACGGGAGGCAGCAGUGGGGAGUAUUGGACAAUGGGCGCAAGCCUGAUCCAGCCAUACCGCGUGGGUGGAGAAGGCCUUCGGGUUGUAAAGCCCUUUUGUUGGGAAAGAAGAGCAGCAGGUUAAUACCCCGCUGUUCUGACGGUACCCAAAGAAUAAGCACCGGCUAACUUCGUG